rnacentral:rRNA from 1 species
GACGAACGCUGGCGGCAGGCCUAACACAUGCAAGUCGAACGAGUGGCGGACGGGUGAGUAAUGUCUGGGAAACUGCCCGAUGGAGGGGGCUAACUACUGGAAACGGUCGCUAAUACCACAUACCAUCGGAUGUGCCCAGGUGGGAUUAGCUAGUAGGUGGUGUAAGGGCUCACGAAGGCGACGAUCCCUAGCUGGUCUGAUAGGAUGACCAGCCAGACUGGAACUGAGACACGGUCCAGACUCCUACGGGAGGCAGCAGUGGGGAAUAUUGCACAAUGGGCGCAAGCCUGAUGCAGCCAUGCCGCGUGUAUGAAGAAGGCUUUCGGGUUGUAAAGUACUUUCAGCGGUGAGGCGUUACCCGCAGAAGAAGCACCGGCUAACUCCGUGCCAGCAGCCGCGGUAAUUC